rnacentral:rRNA from 1 species
GAUCCUGGCUCAGAUUGAACGCUGGCGGCAGGCCUAACACAUGCAAGUCGAACGGUAACAGGGAUCAGCUUGCUGAUUCGCUGACGAGUGGCGGACGGGUGAGUAAUGUCUGGGAAACUGCCUGAUGGAGGGGGAUAACUACUGGAAACGGUAGCUAAUACCGCAUAACGUCGCAAGACCAAAGAGGGGGGACCUUCGGGCCUCUUGCCAUCGGAUGUGCCCAGAUGGGAUUAG